UACUAAAUGGGAAGUAAAAAUAGAAUGAAAAGAUGUCUCAUCUUCCCUCAUCACUCUACUUUACCAAAAAAAUACGGACUCUGACUUAAACCAUAUACCAUUAGGAUUUUAAAAAAAUUUAUUGUAAGAAUUCUCAGUAGUCACACAUAAUUACAGGCACAAUGGUCAUAACAAUGAAGGAUAAAUAAUGUAUGGGAAGAUCAGUCAUCAGUACUGUACUAACGUAACUUAUUCAUACUCGGUGCCGGCAAAGUGGUUAGCGCGCCUGCCUGUAACCAGUAGGUAAUGGGUUUAAGGCUCGUUGCUGCUACCAUUGUGGACGUAUGUAUC